ensembl:lncRNA
AAAGAUCUGUAAGAUCAUGUAGUUCAGCCUUCAACCUAUCGCCAGCAUGCAGAAAAGAAAGCAAAGGAAGGGAUGGAAACUUCAUUUCCAUGCCAUCUCACUGCAAGGUUCACCGUAUAGAUAUGGGACCUUGUGUUUGGAGAGAGAGCUUUUAGCUGGGGCAUCAAGGCCUGAGUUUUGAGGGCAUGUGUAGUGAAAAUGCUGUCACAGCUUGAAGCAGUGAUGGAACACCUGGUGGGAAGGCAGGGCCAGCCCAUGGGAGCUCAGGUGUAUGCAAUGUGCCUGAGUGACCAGAAGGGCUGCAGCCAGGAUCCACCCCUUCCAGCCCUCAUUUAAGGGUUGGCAGUGGAGGUGAGGGUAUCUUGUUGGAGAUCCCUGUGUGUCUGAGGCCUCCUGAAGAGCCCAGCGUAGGCGUGGGGUUGCAUAGGCAGAGCCCUUUGUUCUGAAGGCUGACGAGCAGAUGGAGACCAGCUCUGAGCUCAAGCUCAGGAUGUCCAGGGGUUUCACGAGCACCCAGGGACAAAGGCUGGCAAGUGAUGAAAGGGCUCCUGCUCUCAUUUACUGCACUGGUGUUUGCAGAACUACGUUGGUGAGGAUGGAGGCUGCUGUCAUCAAUGAGCUGACAGAUGGCUGCGGAGUGACCCUCCAGGAUUUAUAUCUCCAGUGGCGAGGCUGUACUGCUGUCCUAUCUUAAUCCCCUCAAGGCCAUAGGAAAAUAAAGCCGUUGUCUUUAAAUCUGAAUCCUUCACAACCCGUCUCCAAGCAGCACCUCGUUGGGGUUCAGCUCCGUUUGCUUUCACAGCUUCAUCGUAGAAACUCCAGGGAUGAGCUUUCCAAGAUGCUCAAUUUUUCAUGAGGGGUUUUAGAAACUUGUUAGGGUGCCUCCUUCAUUCACCUUCUUCAUUUUUCUUAUAUUUAUUACGUUGCCUAUGCCUAUGAUACCAAUGACAUUCACUUCCUAGGUUGACAGAGGGCGAAAGUUUCUCUUCCUUUAACUCAACAGCAGUCUUAUUUUGUUGGGUUUUUUAGCUUUUUGGCUCGGUAAUCUUGUUUGGAUUUGCCUGUUGGAUUUUAGAAGCACCCAUCUGGCCAGGAUCCUUUUUUGCCUUAACAUCUAAAUCUACGCCGCUGGUGCUCAUGCAGCAAAGCCCCAUGUGUUUUUCUGUGCUUCAGAAGGGACACUGAUGGCUCCCUCCAUUGAUCAUAGGAGAAGACUGGCGCAGCAUUGAAGAUGGAGUAGUUGCUGCAUGGAGCAGCUUGGUUACCAUCACAGGAGAUGUGAUUCCCACCAUCGUUCCCAGCCAAAAUGCAGCACCCUGGUCCUGCCAUGCUCCGAGGAAUCCAUAAGGAUCCUGUUUGAAUGGAAGAUGUUGGAUGUGUUUGUAUAUGAUGGACCCAACUGAGCCAGCACUGUCUUGGAUCCUUCUUGCGUACUGGGGUGGGAAAAGCCAUCCCUUGUGCUCCUUCUGGCCUCAGUAAUCUGCAGUAAGGGUGGCACUUCAUGGAUGAGGAGCUAACGGUAGGAGAUAGGCUUAAGCCUUGGAGAAAAUGGAUGUGGAUGGGCGUUUGGUGUGAUUUUGUGCACAAUGGCAUGAGUGGCUGCUUCCUCAGGCUCCGUCCUUCCUGCAGAGCUUCUCCCUGUGUUUCUUCCAGGGUUGCUCCAACCUCCCACCCCCGAGAGGUGUUUCCUCUCCUGUGUCACUCGUGAGGAGUGACCAGGGAGAAGGAGAUGGGCUUUGAAAAGAGCCAAGGACCAAUAGGCUACUUGGGAGGCUGGAAAUGAGGGCAUUGGGUCUGGUCACAAAACACACAGUAUUUUCUCUUAAAUGUAGACGUUAAGGAUUUAAUGGAAAGAGAGGUCAGGCUUUGACCUGACCAUCGAGCAGAGUGACAGGGAUGGCUCCUCCGUGUCCUCGAUGAGGUUUUGUUAGUCUGAAGUUUAGUCCCGGUGUCGGGUGAUGCAUUUUCCAGGGAAGCUAAUGGAUGUGCUUGCGCUGCGCUGGAGUGGUUGGCGGGGGUGGGAGCAGUGACUCUCUCGUGAGAGACAAAUGACUUCCUCUUGACAAGCAGCUAUGUUUUAACUCAGAAAAUGAUGGAUGAGUCCCAAGUAAAGACUUGCACAGGCAAACUAACAUGCAAACGUCGCAUUGUCAGGGAUCCAAAAGCAAAACAAAUUAAAAUCCCAAACCACAGUGGAAAAAAAUGAAACCUCGCCGUGAUGAUGGGCAGGAACCUAAAGUGGGCCAUGGAGAAACACUUUGGGUCCAGCAGAAUGCAUCACCCACCGCCCAAGAUGGGUUCUUCUCCCGAAGAGCCCCAUUCCCAUUAAACCAAAGCCUUCCUGUGGCAUGGGGAACGCAGCCUUAUCCUUCCGCCCCGCUGUGGUCCCUCCCAGGCCAUUGUUUGGAUUUUCCUUGGCAUCCCCCAGCAGAACUUGGCUGCCAUGUUUUGCCAAAUGUUUCCCUCGCAUUUUUCUUCUGUGCUUACCUUUACAAAAGAAAGAAAAUAUUUCAUUGUUAUUUCUUCUUUUUCAUAUGCGUACAUAAAUACUUGGCAAGGGCCGGGCACGGUGGCUGCACCCAAGUUCCUGUUGUUCCUUCUGGCACUCGUGUAUCUUAUCAUUACAUCUGGGAAUCCAGAUCCAGACUCUGGACUCACUGCCCUGGGUAUGGUGUACCUGUGGAUGGAAAAGAUGGGUUCUGCUCCAAAGAGCUGCAACUAAAGCCCGGAGGUCUCCCAUUUGGAGAUGCAGAGAUGGAAAGUGGGGGCAAAGUCCCAUUGCCCAGUUGCACAGAGGGCUGGUGGGCCCUUUUCAAGGACUUCACUAAGGCAAGAGUGAUUUUGCAUGUGCCUGAAAGAGAAUAGCUUCGGAGUUCUCACUUGUUAAAAUUUUUAUGGCUUUUAACGUUUCAUUUAAUUUGUCAUGACUUCUGAUGUCUUUAAAACAAUGCCUGAGAAAAAGCCCUGCUUUACUUAGCAUGUGGUCCCUCCACUGCAUCAAGAACUGGGACCACAUGAGGACUCUGCGGUGAGCACCAAGAACCGUGCAGGAUUCUGAGCAUCCUGCAGAGGAAUGAGGGCAAUCAAUGCCUGCAGUUUCCUCAUCCCUUCCUCAGCCUUCCCCUCUGCAGCCCCAGAUAAACCCUGGAUGUUUAUAGACCUCAACACAAUGGUUCCCACCAGGGCCGGGCGAUGCAGGGAUACGUAAGCCGCCUGGCUGGCUCUUCUUUGAUAUUGGAAAGCUUCCAUGCUUCAGAUCCUGUUGUCAGCUGCAGAUCUCCUUAUCGUUUGACUACUGAGGAUCCAGUGAUUUGACCUAUUUUUACUGAGGGUUUUAUUUAUCCCGGCGGUCAAGAG